rnacentral:rRNA from 1 species
GACAUGUACGGAACCUUUAGAGAUAGAGGGUGCUCGAAAGAGAGCCGUAACACAGGUGCUGCAUGGCUGUCGUCAGCUCGUGUCGUGAGAUGUUGGGUUAAGUCCCGCAACGAGCGCAACCCUUGUCAUUAGUUGCUACAUUCAGUUGGGCACUCUAAUGAGACUGCCGGUGACAAGCCGGAGGAAGGUGGGGAUGACGUCAAGUCCUCAUGGCCCUUAUAGGUGGGGCUACACACGUCAUACAAUGGCUGGUACAAAGGGUUGCCAACCCGCGAGGGGGAGCCAAUCCCAUAAAGCCAGUCGUAGUCCGGAUCGUAGUCUGCAACUCGAGAGCAUGAAGUCGGAAUCGCUAGUAAUCGCGGAUCAGCAUGUCGCGGUGAAUACGUUCCCGGGUCUU